UACAGAGGUCUCAAGCGUUGUUCGGAUUCAUUGGGCGCAAAGGGUGCGUAGGUGGCGCCGUAAGUCGGGUGUGAAAUUUCGGAGCUUAACUCCGAAACUGCAUUCGAUACUGCGGUGCUUGAGGACUGGAGAGGAGACUGGAAUUCAUGGUGUAGCAGUGAAAUGCGUAGAGAUCAUGAGGAAGACCAGUGGCGAAGGCGGGUCUCUGGACAGUUCCUGACACUGAGGCACGAAGGCCAGGGGAGCAAACAGG
rnacentral:rRNA from 1 species